GUUAAUGUUAUUGGAUAUGGACCAUUAGUCACUGUUAAUGUCAGUAUAACCACUACUACAUCAAGUAUCACUAACAUUAUGAUGAGUACUACUGAGUAUAUCACAACACAAGAUAAAAGUUCAACUAUGACAGCAUUACCAACAAUCACAGAAACACAACUAAUUACAACAACUGAAACAAUAAUAAGCAGUUAUAUUGAGAGUUAUUCCUCAUGUAUUACCACAACAAUGUUACAAUCAACAGAUGUAGGAUCAAUUAGUGUUGCUAUUGCUGUACCUAUCACUGG